CGUCUGAUUAGCUAGUUGGUGGGGUAAAGGCCUACCAAGGCGACGAUCAGUAGCCGGCCUGAGAGGGUGAACGGCCACACUGGGACUGAGACACGGCCCAGACUCCUACGGGAGGCAGCAGUGGGGAAUCUUCCGCAAUGGACGAAAGUCUGACGGAGCAACGCCGCGUGUAUGAUGAAGGUCUUCGGAUUGUAAAGUACUGUCUUUGGGGAAGAACGGUAGCAAUGAGAAUAUUGAGUUCACAUGACGGUACCCAAGGAGGAA
rnacentral:rRNA from 1 species